rnacentral:lncRNA from 1 species
AUAACUUCAUUAUACUAAGUUAUUUAUUCUUAUCACAACAAAUAACAUGAUCGACUUCAGAGCUUAAGAGUCGCUAUUUACGAAAUAAAUAAUUGUCGAGUAUUGUAUUUAAAGACUUUAUCUUUAUCCCAAAUUAAAUGUAUUAAAAUUAUUCUCGGAUAAUUCAUAUAAAAUAUGGGGAAUAUAGAACUACGGUCGAUCCAAACUUGGAUAAAUUCAAAAAUUAGCUAUUAUGCUAAUACAACAUCGAAACCGUAUCUAAUAUGAUAAAUUCUUGAAGUUAUGAGAAUUUCAGUUAUCGUUUUCCUAAACGGUGAAUAAUGUUACAUAUCCAAUGAAUUUAGAAUGGAUUAUAUAGGUUCAUUAUACAUAUUGUAUGUAGGUUCAGCAUACCUACCCCAUGUAUUCCGUAUAGAUUUAUCAUACCUAUUCCAUGUAGGUUCAUCAUACCUACCCCAUGUAUUCCGUAUAGGUUCAUCAUACAUAUUCCAUGUAGGUUCACAUACCUACUNAUAGGUUCAUCAUACCUAUUCCAUGUAGGUUCAUCAUACAUACUUCAUAUAUUCCAUAUAGGUUCAUCAUACCUAUUCUAUAGGUUCAUCAUACCUAUUCUGAAUACCAUAUCCAAUACGUUUGAGUUUCCAUUAUAAACUAUUCCGAGUUUCGUGAAAGCUAAGAUGUAAAUACUUAGUAGAAACUCUCCAAUAUAUAACCGUUAAUCCUCAAGGGAAUGACUAACGUCGGGUCUAAGUGUCAUAUUAUUGAUCUUAUACGGUACGACCGCCCGCCUGGAGUUGCUAGCUACAACUACAUCUGACGAGAUGAAUUUUGGCGCUGACGUUAGCAUUAUCGAAACAUUACCACGUGUUACAACGAGGUGAAUGACUUUAGCACGCGCGCCUUAUUAUGGUGUCGGUGCAUUAAUAAAGUACAGUGUCACGAGUUCGGUUAUGAUUUCAUUAUAAAAUCCCAAUUUUGUUUCGUUAUCGUAUAGAAUCGAUAUUGGAUUUAUACGAGGUUUAUGUCCACUCAUUCCAGUUGAAAGAAACUAUAUUCAGUGGGAUUGCUUGUGACUCAAAGCGAUAAGUUUCAGUACCAAAACUUAAGUCAGAUAACACUUAAUUAAUAUCAUGACACGGCUCCGACAAGAUUUAUUAACUCACAUAAAUGAGUUAUUUAUAUAAACCAUUUGUCUUUAUAGUAAAACACAAUAUUUACUUGGGAGGAGUUUUCCCCACCGGUUAAGUGUCGAUUUUCAAAUUAAGUCAGAUAAUACUUAAUUAUUAUCACGACACGAUUUUACAAAGUUCAUAAAUUCAAUACUUAUGAGUUUUUCAUAUAAAUGAUACAAAUUUUUGUAUAAGGUUUCAAGAGUGAAGUUGGUUAUUUUAUGUUCUCACAAAGGGUAACAUUUCCUAUUUUAUAUAAUCC